AAAUAGGUAGAAAACAAGUGGAUCUAGAGCAAAUAAGAAAUUCCAUUGUUAGCACAUAGCAUAGAGCGUAAAUGAUGCACAAGGUAGAACACCUAAAGAUCCGGCUAGCUAGCUAUUUGGAAAUAGUUUUCAUUGAUCAGCCAAAAAGGCUUCAUUACCAAAGCGAAUUGCUUUCCUAUGAAAGAAAUCAACCUACAUAGAAGCCUCACUUGCAUUUCCUGUUAUACAUAAAUGUCAACAUCGAUGAACUACUUUAAUGUCAAUCAGAAUGAGAAUGGCUCAUUGAAAGGGAUUGUCAGAUUCCUUCACAAGUCCUCAGUUGAAUCAAUCCCACUGAAGCCUUUGCGAUGUGUAGUAAUCCGAUGUCUAUUUCGGUGUGCGUGUGAGGCCAGUUGCAACAAAGCAGCAAGCACUAUUUUUUAAUCCUGUUUUGACUCUUGACUAGGUGUAGGACGCCUCUGAACAAGAAACCGCUUUGUGCUUUCUAAUACACCAAAGAAGAUUGAACCACCAAUGCCUAUCCACAAAACUCUUGGCUCUAUCCCCUUGAGAAGAGCAGUAGGUCCUUCUUCUCUAACAAGAGUUUGAACACAAUCAAAGAUCCCGUUGUACUGGUUAGCAGAACCCUGAACCAUUAACCUUGUCUUAAUCACAUCAAGUGGUGUAGUUAUAGCUCCAGUUAGUGCUCCAGCAAAAGCACCAAUGAUAGCAUUUUCUGGAUCAUUCAAUUCUCUCCGUGCCGCCACUUUAUACCCUAACCGAAGUUGUUCAUAGAUACAAAACUGAAUCGCAUCAAAUGGCAAAUCUCGCAGUAAAAAUGACCCAUAUCCCGCAUAGAGCCCCUUAAAACCUUCCUUAGAGACAAUGAGGCGGACAGCAUCAGGGGCUGAGGCAAAUUGCCCAGUCUGCAUUCUUUGCUUAACAACCUCUGUUGGAACACGAAUUAGAGAAGCAGCAACCCCUCCAAUGGCACCUGCAGUUAGAUGAGCUACAGCACUAAGAUUUUCAGGAAACAUCCUCAACAAUUUCUGCUUUGUAGGCUCAUACACUCCAACAAAUAAUGCAGAAGCCGGUAAGACACCAGCAAGAUUUCCAGCUAAUCCAGAGUAAAGACCCUUCAAAAUUAUUUUUCCACCACCACGAGCUGCCUGAAGCCUUGUCUUUAUUGUGUCGAUUGGAUAUAAUGCCGUUUCAACUACAACACCAGCUAUACCUCCUGCUAUAACUCCCUCAAAUAAAGCACGCAAAAAAUCGAAUUGUUUUUCUUCUUGCACUCUCAUGGAUGCAAAAGGCUUUCUUGUUUCCAUGUGCGAAGAGUUUUGCAUUUUCCGAAUUGGUGCAUCUGAAGGGACCUUGGAAGAGCCUCUUGCAUCGAUAGCUAAUGUAAAAGGACCCAUCAGAGGUGUCCAGCAACAAACUAGAGUAUGAAGAAGGCAGCACAGCAGCUUCGGUCUAGUGGAAAC
rnacentral:misc_RNA from 1 species